rnacentral:rRNA from 1 species
AGGAUGUUGGCUUAGAAGCAGCCAUCAUUUAAAGAAAGCGUAAUAGCUCACUGGUCGAGUCGGCCUGCGCGGAAGAUGUAACGGGGCUAAACCAUGCACCGAAGCUGCGGCAGCGACACUCAGGUGUUGUUGGGUAGGGGAGCGUUCUGUAAGCCUGCGAAGGUGGCCUGUGAGGGUUGCUGGAGGUAUCAGAAGUGCGAAUGCUGACAUAAGUAACGAUAAAGCGGGUGAAAAGCCCGCUCGCCGGAAGACCAAGGGUUCCUGUCCAACGUUAAUCGGGGCAGGGUGAGUCGACCCCUAAGGCGAGGCCGAAAGGCGUAGUCGAUGGGAAACGGGUUAAUAUUCCCGUACUUGGUGUUACUGCGAAGGGGGGACGGAGAAGGCUAUGUUGGCCGGGCGACGGUUGUCCCGGUUUAAGCGUGUAGGUGUGUGUUCCAGGUAAAUCCGGUUCACUUUAACACUGAGGCGUGAUGACGAGGCACUACGGUGCUGAAGCAACAAAUGCCCUGCUUCCAGGAAAAGCCUCUAAGCAUCAGGUAACAUCAAAUCGUACCCCAAACCGACACAGGUGGUCAGGUAGAGAAUACCAAGGCGCUUGAGAGAACUCGGGUGAAGGAACUAGGCAAAAUGGUGCCGUAACUUCGGGAGAAGGCACGCUGACACGUAGGUGAAGUGAUUUACUCAUGGAGCUGAAGUCAGUCGAAGAUACCAGCUGGCUGCAACUGUUUAUUAAAAACACAGCACUGUGCAAACACGAAAGUGGACGUAUACGGUGUGACGCCUGCCCGGUGCCGGAAGGUUAAUUGAUGGGGUCAGCGCAAGCGAAGCUCCUGAUCGAAGCCCCGGUAAACGGCGGCCGUAACUAUAACGGUCCUAAGGUAGCGAAAUUCCUUGUCGGGUAAGUUCCGACCUGCACGAAUGGCGUAAUGAUGGCCAGGCUGUCUCCACCCGAGACUCAGUGAAAUUGAACUCGCUGUGAAGAUGCAGUGUACCCGCGGCAAGACGGAAAGACCCCGUGAACCUUUACUAUAGCUUGACACUGAACAUUGAGCCUUGAUGUGUAGGAUAGGUGGGAGGCUUUGAAGUGUGGACGCCAGUCUGCAUGGAGCCGGCCUUGAAAUACCACCCUUUAAUGUUUGAUGUUCUAACGUGGACCCGUGAUCCGGGUUGCGGACAGUGUCUGGUGGGUAGUUUGACUGGGGCGGUCUCCUCCUAAAGAGUAACGGAGGAGCACGAAGGUUGGCUAAUCCUGGUCGGACAUCAGGAGGUUAGUGCAAUGGCAUAAGCCAGCUUGACUGCGAGCGUGACGGCGCGAGCAGGUGCGAAAGCAGGUCAUAGUGAUCCGGUGGUUCUGAAUGGAAGGGCCAUCGCUCAACGGAUAAAAGGUACUCCGGGGAUAACAGGCUGAUACCGCCCAAGAGUUCAUAUCGACGGCGGUGUUUGGCACCUCGAUGUCGGCUCAUCACAUCCUGGGGCUGAAGUAGGUCCCAAGGGUAUGGCUGUUCGCCAUUUAAAGUGGUACGCGAGCUGGGUUUAGAACGUCGUGAGACAGUUCGGUCCCUAUCUGCCGUGGGCGCUGGAGAACUGAGGGGGGCUGCUCCUAGUACGAGAGGACCGGAGUGGACGCAUCACUGGUGUUCGGGUUGUCAUGCCAAUGGCACUGCCCGGUAGCUAAAUGCGGAAGAGAUAAGUGCUGAAAGCAUCUAAGCACGAAACUUGCCCCGAGAUGAGUUCUCCCUGAGACUUUAGGUCUCCUGAAGGAACGUUGAAGACGACGACGUUGAUAGGCCGGGUGUGUAAGCGCAGCGAUGCGUUGAGCUAACCGGUACUAAUGAACCGUGAGGCUUAACCUUACA